rnacentral:tRNA from 1 species
GGGGGUUAGAGGUUUUAUCAAUUUGAAAUUGAUUAGUUUUAAUUUCAUUCCUU